rnacentral:rRNA from 1 species
UACGUAGGGUGCAAGCGUUAAUCGGAAUUACUGGGCGUAAAGCGUGCGCAGGCGGUUUCGUAAGUCUGUCGUGAAAUCCCCGGGCUUAACCUGGGAAUGGCGAUGGAGACUGCGAGGCUAGAGUUUGGUAGAGGGGGGUAGAAUUCCACGUGUAGCAGUGAAAUGCGUAGAGAUGUGGAGGAACACCGAUGGCGAAGGCAGCCCCCUGGGUCAAAACUGACGCUCAUGCACGAAAGCGUGGGGAGCAAACAGG